GGCCUCACCUCAUGGUGAAAAACAAACGAAAUGCGGGCAGUGCCGGUAGACGGGACCGAUAAUCCCGGCCGACGGUAACGAAGCAAGAGAAAAUUGCAGACAC
rnacentral:ncRNA from 1 species